AAAAAUUAGUUGGCUCGAGCGGGAUUUGAACUUGCAUCUUCGGGUAUCUAGACUCGCUACCCAUCCCUGUUGACUCGAUAGGUCAAUAGGUAGAGCGGCGGUCUAGAUAGCCGAAGGUGCAAGUUCAAAUCCCGCUCGAGCCAACGAAUUUUU